GUCUUUCUUGUGAAAUCUUUGUGCGACAAACAACAACACCCUUGCUUGGCGGUUUCAUCGGCAGAAAUACAGCCAACAUGCAAGAAAUUCCUUUACUCUUCUUGGCUAUUGACCCUUCCUCUUCACCGAUUAGAUUUACGUUUAGUGGUUCUUCUUUCACAAAAAAAAUUGUUUUCUUGAUAGUAAUUUGUUGCACGCCUCCAAUUGUCCCUUUUCCCUCACCUUUCUUCACUUUUGCUUUUAACUUUGAGCGAUCCGAAACAACACUCUCACGGCCUCCUUCUUUAUUAGAGUUCUCUUAGCUCUACUUUUUUGACCAUGGAUAUUGUUAAGAAAUGUGGUUGGCCUAACUCAAUACUACAAAACCGAUUGGUAGAGUGAGGAUUGCCCCCACUUAUAAACACAUGUUCUUGAUAGUAAUUUGUUGCACGCCUCCAAUUGUCCCUUUUCCCCACCUUUCUUCACUUUUGCUUUUAACUUUGAGCGAUCCGAAACAACACUCUCACGGCCUCCUUCUUUAUUAGAGUUCUCUUCUUAGCUCCUACUUUUUUGACCAUGGAUAUUGUUAAGAAAUGUGGUCGGGCCUAACUCAAUACUACAAAACCGAUUGGUAGAGUGAGGAUUGCCCCCACUUAUAAACACAUGUUCAGGCCAUAUAUUGUCCGAUGUGGGACUCUUAAC
rnacentral:lncRNA from 1 species